AUUGAACGCUGGCGGCAUGCCUUACACAUGCAAGUCGAACGGUAACGGGCCUUCGGGUGCCGACGAGUGGCGAACGGGUGAGUAAUACAUCGGAACGUGCCCGAUCGUGGGGGAUAACGAGGCGAAAGCUUUGCUAAUACCGCAUACGAUCUACGGAUGAAAGCAGGGGACCGCAAGGCCUUGCGCGGACGGAGCGGCCGAUGGCAGAUUAGGUAGUUGGUGGGAUAAAAGCUUACCAAGCCGACGAUCUGUAGCUGGUCUGAGAGGAUGAUCAGCCACACUGGGACUGAGACACGGCCCAGACUCCUACGGGAGACAGCAGUGGGGAAUUUUGGACAAUGGGCGCAAGCCUGAUCCAGCCAUGCCGCGUGCAGGAUGAAGGCCUUCGGGUUGUAAACUGCUUUUGUACGGAACGAAAAGCCUUCUUUUAAUACAGGAGGGUCAUGACGGUACCGUAAGAAUAAGCACCGGCUAACUACGUG
rnacentral:rRNA from 1 species